GCGUUCUUAGCUCAGUUGGUUAGAGCACCACCUUGACAUGGUGGGGGUCGGUGGUUCGAAUCCACUAGAACGCA
rfam:Oceanimonas sp. GK1, complete genome.